UACGAGUGCCCCGAGCGUUAUCCGGAAUCAUUGGGCGUAAAGGGUGUGUAGAUCGUUUUGUUAGUCUUUUGUUAAAUUCUUCGGCUUAACCGGGGGCAUGCAAAAGAAACGGCAAGACUGGAGGGUGCGAGGGGUUUGCGGAACUCAUAGUGUAGGGGUGAAAUCCGUUGAUAUUAUGGGGAACACCAAAAGCGAAGGCAGCAAACUGGCGCAUUCCUGACAUUGAAACACGAAAGCGUGGGUAGCGAAUGGG
rnacentral:rRNA from 1 species